UGGGGAAUUUUGGACAAUGGGGGGAACCCUGAUCCAGCCAUGCCGUGUGUGUGAAGAAGGCCUUAUGGUUGUAAAGCACUUUAAGCGAGGAGGAGGGUACUGGUAUUAAUACUACCAGGUACUGGACGUUACUCGCAGAAUAAGCACCGGCUAACUCUGUGCCAGCAGCCGCGGUAAUACAGAGGGUGCGAGCGUUAAUCGGAUUUACUGGGCGUAAAGCGUGCGUAGGCGGCUAAUUGAGUCGGAUGUGAAAUCCCCGGGCUUAACUUGGGAAUUGCAUUCGAGACUGGUUAGCUAGAGUGUGGGAGAGGAUGGUAGAAUUCCAGGUGUAGCGGUGAAAUGCGUAGAGAUCUGGAGGAAUACCGAUGGCGAAGGCAGCCAUCUGGCCUAACACUGACGCUGAGGUACGAAAGCAUGGGGAGCAAACAGG
rnacentral:rRNA from 1 species